GCAAGAUGAAGCCCUUUCCCGCUACAGUGUCUCAGGAGAAGUCCCACGUUAGGUAUUGGAGGUCGAAACGGUACUUGGCACCCUUGAUGCGACCCACAAAGUGCCCCGACAUCCCGGUCUCCCUCAAGAGGAACACCGAGGUUUUCCCGAACCACUUCCUCUGAGCCCCUUCUACCCUCCUGAUCUCGACAGGAGGGUCGACUCCGCUGCUUUGUCUGGAAGGGGUUCCCGACCUUCCGGUCGCACCUCAGGAUGAGGCCGGUCUCACGACGACAUUCCAGACGUGGCCUCGUGGGUGGUUCCACAUUCCGAAGGACCCCGAUUUCCCGGUCCCCUCUUGAUAAGAACCCGAUGCCCGGACACCUCUCCGAACUCCACCCUGUGAAUGAAGUCAACACGAAGGGGCAGUCACUCGUCCAUGUAUCGUCCGGAAAAACCCCCAGGUUCCAAAUACAGCUCGACAAGUGGCCUCUCUCCCCGGGGAGACCUCGAGAGAUAAGCGGAGUUCCAUGCCACAACCCAAGACGAGGCCUGACUCUCCUGUUCCCAGUCUGCAGGGACCCUGCGAUCAGAGUCUGAAAUCAGAGGAACCCGGACGUUCCUGCCUCACCUGGAGAUGAGGCCCUCUUCCAAUGCACCAAACCCAGUGGAGUGCCGAGAGGCCCCUCCCACCUCCAGUUUCCCUGACUUCUCAGAGCCACCAUGAGAAGCCCCCUGAGGUCACCUGCACAAGUCCAGGGAAGCCAGGGUUUCCUGCCUCAAUCCGAGAAAGACCUCGAAAAAACAGGAACAAAAUGAAAAUUUAAAUGUGAUAUGAGCUUUUAGAUAAACUAUGAACACUAAUUACACUCGAAAAUAUCUGCCUAUGAGAGUCUUGAUUGAAGGCAGAGGAGAAGGGGUCGACAGAGGCUAAGAUGGUUGGAUGGCAUCACUGAUUCGAUGGACAUGAGUUUGAGCAAGCCCCUGGAGUUGGUGAUGGACACGGAAGCCCAGCGUCCUGCAGGCCACGGGGUCCCAAAGAGUCAGACACGACUGAGCCACUGAACUGAACUGAACAUACAAUCGUUUCUCCAGGUGUUUUGGUUACCCGAGUUUCUAUCCUGUGCUAAACUAAGUGACGACAGUGUACUGAAGAGCUGGGUCAUUUCCAAAUAAAUUAAAGUUCUGAAACAUUCACGCCUUGAAAGGACCUCCCUUUUACACAGAAACAAAAGAGAUUUUUGACUAUCCAAUAAUAGUGUCUGGCACCAUCCUGACAUGUGAAACGUAAGAAAGCAAUUUUUUUUGUUUUGUUUGGUUCUGAUAUUGGGUGUGUGUGUGUGUGUGUGUGUGUGUGUGUGUGUGUGCGUGAGUGCGGGGGAGGGGAGGGGCGCUACUAUCACUGAUAGGUAUGUUCACCAAUCUGUCGAAUGCCAAUAUAAAAGUCAGUUCUUGGUUGCUGAAGGGAACUGUAUGACUUGGUAUUAAAAGAAGGUAUGUGGCAUGAAAUCGCAUUUUCUGAAGGAAAACGACGUCGUUCUUUCUUCCAGGUGGCAGUUUCAGGAUGGGAGAAGCAAAGGAAUGGGUACAGAAUGGGAUCAGGAGGUUGUAGGGAAAGUGGACCCCCAGAAAAGAGUGUUGUGCCUAGCACAAGGUUUCUUGAGAGGUUGAACUGCCUUUGCUAAUGGAUUUUAAGUUUCUUUACCUCUUCCGUGAUCUCUUCUAGGUUGACCUAGAAGAGAAAUCUUUUGUUAGCUUUGGCUAAGUGGAGAAGUAUUGCUUCACGGUGACUUGUGUGAUCCUACCUGACUGUUCUAAACCCUUUUGAUAUCUAUGCACUGCUGCUGCUGCUGCUGCUGCUGCUGCUGCUGCGAAGUCGUUUCAGUCGUGUCCGAGUCUGUGUGACCCCAUGGACGGCAGCCCACCAGGCCCCGCAGUCCCUGGGGUUCUCUAGGCAAGAACACUGGAGUGGGUUGCCAUGUCCUCCUCCAAUGCAUGAAAGUGAAAUGUGAAAGUGAAGUCGCUCAGUCGUGCCCGACUCUGAGCGACCCCAUGGACUGCAGCCUACCAGGCUCUUCCGUCCAUGAGAUUUUCCAGGCAAGAGUACUGGAGUGGGGUGCCAUUGCCUUCUCCCAUAUCUAUUCACAAGCCUGCCUAAAUCAUUGACUUCUAGCCACCUUUGGGAUGCCAAUGACCACCCACCCUUACCAGGCCCCAGAGGAGAGAAAACACUUACCACAGGAGGUCCGGGUAAGGAACAAGGAACUAACAAGCUCCCACCAACCAGGAUUCUGCAGAGGUCAACAAGAGGUCAGCAAGAGAUGGGAGACUGCAGUCCAGAGGUCCUAGCAACUUCCAGCGAGCAGCAAAGACCCAGCAUAGUCA
ensembl:lncRNA